GAUGAAGAACGUAGCGAAAUGCGAUAAGUAAUGUGAAUUGCAGAAUUCAGUGAAUCAUCGAAUCUUUGAACGCACCUUGCUCUCCUUGGUAUUCCGAGGAGCAUGCCUGUUUGAGUGUCAUUAAAUUCUCAACCUCACCAGUUUUGUUAUGAGACUGUGUAAGGCUUGGAUGUGGGGGUUUUUGCAGGCUGCCUCUGUGCGGUCUGCUCCCCUGAAAUGCAUUGGCGAGUUCACUAAGCUCCGUCUAUUGGUGUGAUAAUUAUCUACGCCGUGGAAUGGGUUUAGACUUGCUUCUAACCGUCUGCAAAGACAACUUUUGACAAUUUGACCUCAAAUCAGGUAGGACUACCCGCUGAACUUAAGCAUAUCAAUAAGCGGAGGA
rnacentral:misc_RNA from 1 species